rnacentral:rRNA from 1 species
AUACGGAGGGUGCAAGCGUUACUCGGAAUCACUGGGCGUAAAGCGCGCGCAGGCGGCUAUUUAAGUUGGAUGUGAAAGCCUAUGGCUCAACGAUAGAACUGCAUCCAAAACUAUUUAGCUAGAGUGUGGGAGAGGAAGAUGGAAUUAGUUGUGUAGGGGUAAAAUCCGUAGAGAUAACUAGGAAUACCAAAAGCGAAGGCAAUCUUCUGGAACAUUACUGACGCUGAGGCGCGAAAGCGUGGGGAGCAAACAGGAUUAGAAACCCGAGUAGUCC